UUCCGAGAAAAGUAGAAAGUAGUCGUUCGGUUUCACUCAGCAGCUCUUUGUUAAUGUCGACAGAUCACUUGAAAUUCAAUCGCUCCAUAAUCCCAAUUUGCUCUCAAAGCUUCCUUUCACGCUCUUCUCCUGUUUCUCGUCUUCGCUUUCUGAUUCAUGCUCGGCUUGGCAGCUACGCUCGAUUUCUUCUGUGUUGCGUAAUGAAAUCACUGUAUAGUGACUGUUUUUGUCUGUGGACACACAAUUAGUAGAGAGACAUACACAAUGAGAGGAUUAACAAACAAGGCUGUCAAUGAUAAUAUAAUAAUAUCAGGUUAAGCUUUGAAGUGUUGCCGUUGUCUUCAUUUCUCCAGCCUCGCCCAUAUAGCAAAACCUGUAGCAGCUGUUGAAGCUGAUUCGAGAGAAUCAAAAGCAAAGAAGACUGAGGAAAGCAUUAAGGAGGUAAACAAAACUAGAAAUAGAAGCAAGCACAGAUGAGAGCAGCAAAGCUGAGGCAAGUUAUCAUUUUUCUAAUAAUCAAAGAUUGGACUUAUUUUAUGUGAAAAAUUAUUUUAUUUUAUUUUUCCCCCUCACAUUAACCCUUUAUUCUAUUUUAUUUUUUCUUAGAACUUUAGCUCAUAGAAUUCAUAAAGUUGAAGUACUUUUUUUUAAAAAAAAUUUUGGCCUGUUUGAACAGGUUUCAUUUGAAUUCCACUAUGAAAGCUAAAAUUAAUGUGCUGGUCACUGAUCAGUUGUUGUAGCAAUCAUUACUUUUGAUUAGGUCUAACAUCCCAUGCAUUGAUUCGUGAGCUGUGUUGAUAGGUUAAAAUAUGAUAAAUUUGUUAAAGAUCAAACCCCAAAAACAAAAAAUUGAUUGUCCAGGAUGGGAUGCUCUCUCACUGGGGCCAAAAAUGUUGUAUUGGAGGCUGAAUAUGGAUGCAAAGAGGGCGCUGUUCUUGUGAACUCUUUAUUUGCCCUUCAUUUUCUCAUUUUGCAAUACAUACAAACAAAUUAAACGUCAAAAUUUAAAAAAUUGGAAAAAGAAUUAAAAGACUGUUGCGAAAGUUUUUAAAAACAAAAAAGGGGAAGGUUAAUCUUGCCACAAUUAAAUUAGGUUUUGCUCAAUUUUAAAUUACGUUUUUGUAGCUUUAUUUUAAUCAAAACAUUUAUAGUUAAAAUUAUUAAUGAAAAUUCUAUAUGUAUAAAUUAAUUUGAAUACAUAAUUAUAUAAAUUAUGAGUUAUUCUAAAAUUAAUAAAAAUUAAAAUUUCUUAAUUUCAUUUUUUAAAGGAAAAAUUUAAGGAUUUUAAUUUGAAGAUUAUUAUAUUUAAUUGAAUAUAAAAUAAGUUAAGAGUAAUUAAUUUAAAAUUGAGAAAAGUUAUAAAUACUUGUAGAUUAAUUUUUCAGAAAAAUAAAAUAAGAGGACAAUUGGUGAAAAAGACUUGCUUGGAACAAUAUUUGUGCCCAGGGACUAAUUGUACUUGAAGGACUAGUCUGAAUAAAAUAUCAAUAAAACAAUGUGAUUAGAUUACUAUCAUGCCCCUAUCUUAAACGAACAAAUUUGAAAAAGAAAACACCCUCUCUUCUUCCUUUCUUUGCGUGAUUUGGAGAACUGCAAGACUUUAGAGUGCUCUACAACGAUUGGCAAUAAGGGAUGGAUUUGAUAGAGGAGCGAUGAUGAUCUAAGGUUUGAGUGAGUUGCGAGCGACAAAUUUUGUGAAAGAAAAACCCAUCUCUCUGCAUGCAUCCCUAAUUAGAUAACUACUAGAAUGUGUUGCGAUCCGUUGAUGGUAGAGUAAAUGGCAGCCUGAGUAACACUUGGGUGUGCAUUGUGUGUGAAAGCUGCCAUUUUGUUCGAGUGAGCACAAGUUUGCUUUCCUCUUCUUGUGAGUUGCUUCUUCUCGUCUUCACUUUGUCUAAACUUGAUACAAAUGCAUGUUUUCAUUUAGAAUGAGCUUCUUUUCAUUCAUAUUUGAGAUUGACCCUAAACUUUCAAUUGCCCGAACCCAAUCCUUUUCAAAUAUUUCAUAUAAAUUAAUCCAUGAACAAAUUUGAAUGUGUGAAAAUUACAUGUAAGGUGUAAAUGAUUUCAUGGAAAAUGAAUGCUAUCUUCCUGUGUCCCUGCCUUCCAUGGAAACUGUUAUGAAUUCCAUGUAAAAUAAUGUAUGAACAGAUUUGCUAACAUGCCUGUGAGAUGAUUACAUGAUUGAUUUCAUGUAAAUUGAAAAUACACACAUUUACAUUUUCUCUAAAGUGUCUUUAAUGUUGGGUAAUUCCUAACCAUAUGUCAUACAAUUCAAGACUUGUAAUCUAUAUAUUUGGCAAUUAGGAAUCAUGGUUAAGACAACUGACAUGUGUUGUUUGAGGCUUAGUGGAUUGCAUGUUCAUGCAUAGGACUUAAAAAAGAAAGGCAUGGUCAAGGAUUGCAAAAUGCUAUUGAUGUUGCAAGAAAGGGUUGGAAGAAUUUGUCAAAAGAAGAGAGGAUCUGCUUCAACAAAAUGACUAGGGAUAAAAGGCAUCGUAGAGCAUGUGUGUCUUCAUCCAAGGAAGCAUUUAAAAAGAGAUUGCUCACGCAUUACUCGCCUAGACAAGUUUGUGAAGUGGUUGAACAUGUGAAAUAGAAUGAAAGGCUCAUGGUGAGAGCCAAUGCAAUUGGUUUUAGCAAAAAUUAUUGAUCUCAAGUGCACGCAAAUAAAUCAUGCUCUAUGUGGAAGUUUGAUGAGAGCAAUUAACUCGGAGCGAUUAAGCAACAAGUAGAUGCCAAUGAUGUGCACAUGUUUGUGGGCUUACCUAAAAAAGGAGGGGAGGUGGUCGAAGUUGAUCCAGAAGGUGAGAUAUAUAAUGAAUUGAAAGGGAAUGUGUUGGGUUGAGAUUUUGACAAAAAUAACAUGUUUGAGCCCUUGCUUAUUCUGUAUAUAUUGGGUAUAUGUGUCCUCUUGCGAGAAGAGAAGUGACUUCACAAUUGGUGAAAGUUAUCUUUUGUAAGAAAACAGCUUUGAUUUCCUACAAUUAAAGUGAAUUUGUUGUUAAGUAGUUAAUGAGAGAGGUCAAGAAAUACAAAAAUGUUGCAUCUAAUAAGGAGAAAAGAUCAUAUGUUACUAGCUGCCUUACUUCUUGAUGAUAAGUAACAUAAUUUGAUUAUUUGUA